rnacentral:rRNA from 1 species
CUACGGGAUGCUGCAGUGGGGAAUAUUGCACAAUGGGCGCAAGCCUGAUGCAGCCAUGCCGCGUGUAUGAAGAAGGCCUUCGGGUUGUAAAGUACUUUCAGCGGGGAGGAAGGGAGUAAAGUUAAUACCUUUGCUCAUUGACGUUACCCACAGAAGAAGCACCGGCUAACUCCGUGCCAGCAGCCGCGGUAAUACGGAGGGUGCAAGCGUUAAUCGGAAUUACUGGGCGUAAAGCGCACGCAGGCGGUUUGUUAAGUCAGAUGUGAAAUCCCCGGGCUCAACCUGGGAACUGCAUCUGAUACUGGCAAGCUUGAGUCUCGUAGAGGGGGGUAGAAUUCCAGGUGCAGCGGUGAAAUGCGUAGAGAUCUGGAGGAAUACCGGUGGCGAAGGCGGCCCCCUGGACGAAGACUGACGCUCAGGUGCGAAAGCGUGGGGAGCAAACAGGAUUAGAUACCCCCGUAGUC